UCUGUUCCACCGACACGGAAACAGGGCGCGUUCGCAGGGCUCCCAAGAGGCAGGCCUGGGAGAGAGCCCAGGUCUUCGCACUCCUGGUUCGGUGCUCCUCUGCCUGUUCUCGACAUCCACAUUUCCUUUAGAGCCGGUCAGUCUUGGCAAAUAUCCAGGGUCCAGCACACACAGUGCCCCUGUUUUAUUAUAAAGUCUUUUAUUAAGACGUCACAAGCAUGUAAUUCUGUGACAUGACAAUAUCAUACUCAAGCACACUGUAUUAUGACAUUGUAGGUCCAAGUAAAACUAUAGAUUAUCACGCCCCUAUUAUCACCCCACCCACCACACUGCAGCGGGCGCUGCUCCUGCCGGACCCUGUGGACUCACAGGGAGCCUUAGGGUCUUUGUGCAGAAAACUGGGGGCAAAUACUCUUCGGAGACCAAGUCUGAAUUAGAACCUGCCACGAUUUACAAAUCAGAUUUUCUUGUUCUCUUUGAAAAGUGUCUUUAUUCUAAAAAGCUUGUCAUGCCUGUCAAAAGAAGCUAGCGACAGGUGGAAAGCAAAGCAUUCUGAGAAUGAGAAUAAAGGGUUUUCUAUUAGGGAAGGAAGGCAUAGCGACUUAAUAAUUACUGUUGAAAUAGUCACAGCAAUGCUGACGCUUCUCCAUAAUUUAAUCUAACUUAAUACUAACUGCCUCCUCCCUAGUGGCAAUACAUAAAUUAAUUAAUAGCAGGUUGGGUUGGAAGCGGCGCCUUUGUAUUUAGGCCAUUAUUAACUUGUUCCCGGUGCCUCUCUGACUCGGCUGGGUCUGUUCACGUUGUCACGGAAAUGAGAGUCGCUUCUGGCUCUUAUUUCCAUUACGAUUUCUACCAGCAUCGGGGUUUUGAAAACACGUGCUGUUCUAUCUGUAUUUUACUCCCUUCUUGUGUAAGCACUUAAGCCCUACAGGGAGGUUAUACCUGCUUGAUUUGUAGCACGUAGUAGGUGUGGUUCUGGAAUAUGGAUCGCCCCUGAGAGGUGGCUGGUAGAGAGAGGAUCGCUGUUAAGCCGGUGGGCUGUGAGCGAGACGACCUCUGAUUGAAUGCUGACUCUGUCACUGACUACUGUGUAACCCCAGGCAAGGUGUGGAACCUGCCUGGGCCUCAGUCUCCCCAUCUGGAAAAUGGGCAACAAUCAUAUCUACCCUCUAAGGUUGUCGAGGCAGUGAAAUGAAUGAAUACAUCUAAAGUUCUUAGGAGAGGGCCCAAGGCGUGCUGAGUACUAAUAAAUGCCAGCUAACACUAGUGAUGGUGCUAAUUUUGCUCUUCAUCCCCAAGGUGCAAACACAAUGUUCCCUUGCUUGUCGCCUAGUCACUCCCAUUUGCCAGGUGGCCUACAAGGAUCCCAGGAGGUGCCCGUGCUGAGCUCCUGGCUGCACUGCAGAAGCCUCACAGGCUGACUGUUGGGGAACAACCUCGGUGAAGAGGGGAGGCACCAUUCAGGAAGCAGUGCCAUCUACAUCUUGGGGAUACUCAAAGACGAAUGACACCUAACUUACUGAGAGCUCACCCACCAUUCAGGGGAGAAAGGGACUUGCAAGGAAGAGCUUCCGACGCAUGUGGUGAAUGCUGCUGUGGAGCAUGGAGGAGUGGUGGGCAGAGGGGUUUCUGGUUUGCUGCAGAGCGCUUGUCCCAAGCAGGCCUCACUGUCUUGGUUUGGAAGGUCACAGCCUUGGGAACGGCCCCGGGCCCCGGGCAGGACCGAGGAGGGACCGACCGACCGACAAGGUGGAGCUGGCGGCAGAGAACACGCUGCAUCGCAGCAGCUGGUUGGACUCACACCGCUAGUUCACGCCACCCCCCUUACGUUCCGUAGAGCUGGCAGAGAGGCUUGCUGUCACGUCACUUCCCUGGGAACCCCUUUGUGCCCUCAAGAGCUUCCGAAGCCCGAGAGGCCGCACAGGGCAGUUGUCCAGUGUGGGCCGUGGGAUGGGAUGUCCUGAGCGUCAGUCACAGCCCCGCCACUUUGCUGAGCAGCGUGGGGCCAGUCACUGCCCUCCCCCUGUGCCUCAGCUGUGCCACCCGCAAGGUGGCGUCAGCAUGCCUAGCUCGUCGAGUUGUUGGGCAGUAGAGUGCUUGUGCACAGGACCCGGCCCAGUGUGAGCAUGCAGCCUCAGCCUGGUCUCCCACAGACAUCCCAGACUUCCGGAGCGGAUGGGCCCAGCCACCUCUGGCCAUCCAGCUGGUCUGCUCAGCUCACGUCAGCCCCCUCGUGGGGUAUCUCAACACCCGGCAGGCACCUAGGGGAGGCCUUCUGGGCAGUCCCUCUGUCGUCCGCAGCACCCUUGUGCCUGAACAGUUGGUGCUUAAGUCAAUAUUGAGUCUUAAAACACUUUUGACAAUGUUUUAAUUGCUGCCCCUACCACUGUCUUGCUAACCGGGCUGCAAACCCAUGAAGACAAGGACUCUGUCACCCCUGAAAUGGUGACGUGCGCUGAAGUGGCCGGUGAGUGGCAGGUGCUCACUCAGCACUGGUGGGUUUGAGCCGUCCAGUCCGACCACACACUCCACUCCCGGCUGA